AUUUGGGAGGGCAUGGUAAUGACUGGUGGAGAAGGUGCUGUGUUUACAGAAUACAGCCAUCAAAACUGCUCUGGCUGUCCACGGACUUCAGGGACCACUCCCCUCCAGGGCAGGCCAGAGGGAUUUCCUGGCUAAUAUCAGGCAUUGCUUUACCCAAUGAAAUUCACCCCUGCAUUUUAAGCUGACACAGCAAAUGACAUUCAACAGUUUUGGUCAGGAAGGAAAGGAUCCUGAACCGUGCUGCAUGUGAAAGGCUGCCACUGAAUUCAGACAACCAAGUUGAAAGGUACUUCUUAGUGCAAGAGAGGUUCCAGACAGGACUGAUGCUUGGACAGCUGGGACUCUCCCCCACAGCCCAGAGCCAGUACAAAGCUAGUCUCCCAG